rnacentral:ncRNA from 2 species
GCUAGCGCCAUUCGUUUGGGUGCCCUUUACAGGGUGAAACUGGGAAACCGGUGCGUCAUACAUCGCUUAUAAAGGUGUAUGGCAAGUCCGGUGCUGCCCCCGCAACGGUAAGUGAGAAAAGCGUCAAAACCACUGUGCCCGUAGUCUGGCAUGGGAAGGUGACGCCUCGGCUGAGCAAUUUGUCCGCCCUCACAAGCCCGGAGACCGGCCCAACACUGAUCUGACAA